rnacentral:rRNA from 1 species
UACGAAGGGUGCAAGCGUUACUCGGAAUUACUGGGCGUAAAGCGUGCGUAGGCGGUUCGUUAAGUCUGUCGUGAAAGCCCUGGGCUCAACCUGGGAAUUGCGAUGGAUACUGGCGAGCUAGAGUACGGUAGAGGAUGGUGGAAUUCCCGGUGUAGCGGUGAAAUGCGUAGAGAUCGGGAGGAACACCCGUGGCGAAGGCGGCCAUCUGGACCAGUGACUGACGCUGAGGCACGAAAGCGUGGGGAGCAAACAGGG